rnacentral:rRNA from 1 species
AUUGAACGCUGGCGGCAGGCCUAACACAUGCAAGUCGAACGGUAACAGGAAGACGCUUGCUUCUUUGCUGACGAGUGGCGGACGGGUGAGUAAUGUCUGGGAAACUGCCUGAUGGAGGGGGAUAACUACUGGAAACGGUAGCUAAUACCGCAUAACGUCGCAAGACCAAAGAGGGGGACCUUCGGGCCUCUUGCCAUCGGAUGUGCCCAGAUGGGAUUAGCUAGUAGGUGGGGUAACGGCUCACCUAGGCGACGAUCCCUAGCUGGUCUGAGAGGAUGACCAGCCACACUGGAACUGAGACACGGUCCAGACUCCUACGGGAGGCAGCAGUGGGGAAUAUUGCACAAUGGGCGCAAGCCUGAUGCAGCCAUGCCGCGUGUAUGAAGAAGGCCUUCGGGUUGUAAAGUACUGUCAGCGGGGAGGAAGGGAGUAAAGUUAAUACCUUUGCUCAUUGACGUUACCCGAAGAAGAAGCACCGGCUAACUCCGUG